GCCUGCGCCGGGUACAGCGCCUCGGGAGGCGGCCCCGGCGGCCCGGGCGGCGCCGCGGGAGCCUGGUAGCCGGGCUCCCUGCGCGGUCGGGGGAAGUACUCGGGCAGCGGCGGGCCCGGGUGCGCGGCGGCGUGCAGGAAUAAUCUAGACACCGAUUCAGAAGAUUCAAUAUUUGCUGAAGUUGAAGUUUCAACUUCCUUGAAAAUAUUCUCAUUGAUAUUUUUAUUCUACACUGGAUUGAAAAAUAUGGAAUUCGAGAGGCUAAUUGUUUUGGUAAGGAAGCAAAUGAAUUUCAGUCACCUUCUCUUGAGUAACCCAGUUAUAGCAACAGCUUUCUUUCUGGGUGUAUCAAAGACGCAUUGUUGUUCUUGGAAACAAUCCGCCUGCUAUUCUUUAACAAAAUAGAUAUUUGGCUAUGGCUUUUAGCUUGUUAUCAGGCUUCUCUCUUACACCAAAUAAAUACUCUAGAUGUGAAAGGUUAAACGAUAUCUCCGGUGAGGGAAGGCUCCCCAAACGCGCAAUGCCAGGGCUCGCUGCAAGUUAGCAGCAGCAGGGACAUGCGAGCAACAUCUACACGCCGAACAAAUACUUGCAUGCACACCUUUUCUGCGCUUCGGCAGGUACUUCGGGCAAAAUCUCCAGUAACAGCUUUGGCUAAUCUGAAAUCUAACACCUCGCAAAUUUGUUCCCAAGAAAUAUCGCUCGGCUGCCACGAUCCAGCUGGGUCUGUAGCAAAUAAUUCACGCGUACCCAACGCAUCGAGGACGGUGUAGCCUCCUGCGUUUGGGGUCGAAAGGCAGCUAUGCGUGGAUGGUGGUGAGGUGCGCUUUCUCUGCCUUCCCCAUGGCACUGUCCCCUCCUCCACACCUUUCACAGCUGCUUAUCAAUAUUUUGGAAUCUCCUUUCCCCCUUCCAUCCUCAUCAUUGCAACCUGAAUCCGGCGGCGCCUUGUAGUGCCCUCCCCAAAAUAAUGCAGUUCCCUGUGCAAUAUUGGACACUUCUCCCUCCAGACCCGCCUAGCCGAGGAGCUAAAGGUUCAACACCGAGGCAGCACUGGAACAAAAAAUUCCCAGCAAUGUGGAAAUAACUCUCUGCGCAAAGAAACUCCUCUAAACUUUUUUUUUUUCUUUUUUCUUUUGGCGAGUGAGGGGAGGGAAAACAUCCCUUCCAUCCCUUCCUGCUCCCCAUUUCACUGGCAACUGCUGCCUCGGGUAAUUCCAGAAGGCUCUGCGGUCCAUCCAAAUCACGGAGCCGCGCUGGACGCCAGCUUCUCCGCAACAUUUUCCGUCGGUAGCACAACAUGGCCCCAUCGCUCCGCGGUUUAAGCGAGCUCCCUCGGACUAAACAUAUAACCCGCCCGUAUUAUCUGCAGCAUGUCCUGUUUAAGCACAGUUUAGUGGUCGCUACAGAAACGAGAGCAAAAACAAAGACGCGGCUAGGAUCGAUACACACGUUAAUAGCUUUGCUCCUAUCUUAUCUUCCUGCCAUUUUGCAAAGUGAGAAGGCUUAACAUUAAACCUCUUAAAGCGGGUUAUUAUAUAAUAAACAAGGGUGAAACAUUUUGCUACCUGACUCUCGGAGGAGGCAGCACCAGCGGCUGGCGUGGGGGUAACAUGCGUGUUUACCUGCCGCGCCUGAACCCAAGAUAUUCAGACACAAAUGUGGCCGAUAAUUCAAGAUGAAAUACAACGUGUAUUACUCUUGAAAAGAGGAAUUUUCUAUCCUUUCCUCGGUAAUUGAGGUCAUUCAGCCAGUAGGGUUCACCUGGAGUCCAUACUGUGAUACACACGUAACUCAAAGCUAUUUUAUCUUUUGUGCUGAUAGUCAAGAUCUCGGCUAUAACAUUGACAUCAAACUCUGUCUGGGCGAAUGACUAAGAGUGGUGCAAAACGUAAACUUUUGACCCUCAACUUUUUGACCUGCAGUUGUAACGCCCUUAACCACAAAGAUAUACAAAAGCUAUGCAGCUUCUUUUAGGAGUAAGAGACUCGCACUGUUUGUUUCAAUAGUUCUGCCGUUUCCCCCCGCUUUCUAAGGGCUUUUUUUUUUUUUCUUUCUUUUCUUUUUUCCUUCUUCUUGCUGAUGAGAAAUCGGAUACUUUUGCAUUUUAUAUUAUUGCUUUUUUUUUUUUUUCAUUUCUUUCUUUAAUCUGGCAGCUUUGUAAAGUGCUGUUAAAUCAGUUUGCACACCCUUUCGGCAGCGUUGGAGGAAAGCCUGUUACUCAAAGGCGCUAUAUGGUUACAAUUGCAGGUGAAAUGCUGGGUUCUGGCUCACAGGAGCCCCUGCGACUUUGACAGCUGUCGCUUUGGCUGCACAGGAGACGAAUCGCCCUCCUUUUGGUGCCAGAAGAAGCAGGAAAUUAGCCAGGUUGCAAGUUGAAAAUCUGCCACGCCAGUGCUU